rnacentral:rRNA from 1 species
UACAAGGAAUUGACGGGGCCGCACAAGCGGUGGAGCAUGUGGUUAAUUCGACGCAACGCGAAGAACCUUACCAGGGCUUGACAUCCCCUGACCGCGUAUGAAAGUACGUUUUCACCCUCGGGUGACAGGGAGACAGGUGGUGCAUGGUUGUCGUCAGCUCGUGUCGUGAGAUGUUGGGUUAAGUCCCGCAACGAGCGCAACCCCUACGUUUAGUUGCUAACGCGUGAAGGCGAGCACUCUAGACGAACUGCCGUUGACAAAACGGAGGAAGGUGGGGAUGACGUCAAAUCAUCAUGCCCCUUAUGUUCUGGGCUACACACGUGCUACAAUGGCCGGUACAGACGGACGCAAAGCCGCGAGGUGGAGCAAAUCCUAAAAAGCCGGUCUCAGUUCGGAUUGCAGGCUGCAAUUCGCCUGCAUGAAGUCGGAAUCGCUAGUAAUCGCAGGUCAGCAUACUGCGGUGAAUACGUUCCCGGGCCUU